AGGUCAGCGGAGCGGAGCUUUUGCAUGACUCACACGAGGGCUCUCCCCGGAGCAGCCUCAUGACUUCAGCAGUUUUCGCUUAUCAGUUCAAGGAACUGUGCACCAGACCCGCAGCGGCUGGCGUCCGCAUGUGCACGCGGGUCAGGGGUCGCAGCGGAGUGAAUGCAACUGGGUUCGCUCCAAGAACCGCCCCGCCCCAGCCACAGCACUUGGCAGUCCCAGGCAUCUGGAUCAGGCUGCGUUGUCGUCUGUGACUGUAGUCGUUUGCAGUCCUGGAGCAGAGUUCUUUCUGGGAGAGACCGAUGUUUAUUGCGGUUCUUAUACGUCAAUCAUAGACGUAGGCGACGGGCAAGACAAUUUCCACGAGCAAAAGGGCUGCGCUGUUAUCACAACAGGAUUGUGGAUAGUCCACACCUCAGCUUUCAGACAUUAAAUCUUAACUUUCAUGUAAUUUAACUGUGGUGGUUUGAAUCAGAAUGCCCCCCUAGACUCCUGUGUUUGGAUGCUUGGCCCACGGGGCGUGGCACCGUCAGGAAGAGUGGCCCUGUUGGAGGAAGUGUGCCACCGUGGCGAUGGGCUGUGAGGUCUCAGAGGCUCAAGGUGGCCCUAGCGAGGCGGUCUCCUGCUGCUGCCUGUGGACCAAGAUGUAGAACUCCAGCUCUUCCUCCGGCACCAUGUCCGCCUGCAUGCUGCCUUGCUUCUUGCUGUGACAACAGUGGACUAAACCUCUGAAACUGAAAGCCAGCUCCAAUUAAUUUUUUUAAUAGGAGUUGCCAUGGUCAUGGUGUCUCUUCACAGCAAUAAAACCCUAAGACGUUAAUACUGAGCUUUUGUAUUUCAAAUUUUAUUUCAAAAUUACUGCAAGAAAGCAAGAAUUUCCAAGUCAGCGCUUGGAAUGCAAACAAGAAGAUUUCCAUGAAUCAGAGGCCAACCUGGGCUGCAGAGUUAGUCAAACGAGAAAGAAAUUGCUACAUAAGAGCUACGGCAAGUCUAUUCAAAGAUUUACUAAAAUCUGAGACAUUUAAAAAGAGAGAGAUAGAAAGCCAGGGAGACCAGUGGCACACUCAGGACAUAGACUAGGCAUAAAAACGGAACCAGUUAGGCCUCUGACCGGCAUGCAACUAACUGAGAGAGGUCAUUUUCUCAUCUCAAUCAAUUCUCACUUAUUCCUCAUCACACAUUUUGUCAGAAGUGCUCAUGUCGGGGAGAUGGUUCUCUGGGUAAGUAAGUGUCCCUGCACUAAGCCGGCUGACCGGAUCUCAGCCUUGGGACCCUCAGGUAGAAGGCGGGAGGUGACGGCAGGUUGUUCCCUGAGAUCCACGUGCCCAUCGUGGCAUACGCUUAACCAAUUAACUGAAAUAUUUUUUUAUU